rnacentral:rRNA from 1 species
GACGAACGCUGGCGGCGUGCCUAAUACAUGCAAGUCGAACGCAGUGGGGACGGGUGAGUAACACGUGGGUAACCUCCCAUCAGAGGGGAUAACACUUGGAAACAGGUGCUAAACCGAUACUGAUGGAUGGACCCGCGGUGCAUUAGCUAGUUGGUGAGGUAACGGCUCACCAAGGCCACGAUGCAUAGACGACAUCAGAGGGUGAACGGCCAAACUGGGACUGAUACACGGCCAGGACUCCUAAGGGAGGCAGCAGAAGGGAAUCUUCGGCAAUGGGCGAAAGUCUGACGCAGCAAGGCCGCGUGAGUGAAGAAGGUUUUCGGAUCGGAAAACCCUGGUGUUAGAGAAGCGGUAUCUAACCAGAAAGCCACGGCUAACUACGUGCCAGCAGCCGCGGUAAUAG